CAGCCGCCACGGGAAUACGUAGGUGGCAAGCGUUGUCCGGAAUUAUCGGGCGUAAAGGGCUCGCAGGCGGUUUCUUAAGUCUGAUGUGAAAGCCCCCGGCUCAACCGGGGAGGGUCAUUGGAAACUGGGAAACUUGGGUGCAGAAGAGGAGAGUGGAAUUCCACGUGUAGCGGUGAAAUGCGUAGAGAUGUGGAGGAACACCAGUGGCGAAGGCGACUCUCUGGUCUGUAACUGACGCUGAGGUGCGAAAGCGUGGGGAGCGAACAGGAUUAGAUACCCGCGUAGUCCCUGUCUCUUAUAC
rnacentral:rRNA from 1 species